CAACCUCGGUGUCGAAGUCUGACGGAGCACGCCGCGUGAGUGAUGAAGGUUUUCGGAUCGUAAAGCUCUGUUGUUAGGGAAGAACAAGUGCAAGAGUAACUGCUUGCACCUUGACGGUACCUAACCAGAAAGCCACGGCUAACUACGUGCCGGCAGCCGCGGUAAUACGUAGGUGGCAAGCGUUGUCCGGAAUUAUUGGGCGUAAAGGGCUCGCAGGCGGUUUCUUAAGUCUGAUGUGAAAGCCCCCGGCUCAACCGGGGAGGGUCAUUGGAAACUGGGAAACUCGAGUGCAGAAGAGGAGAGUGGAAUUCCACGUGUAGCGGUGAAAUGCGUAGAGAUGUGGAGGAACACCAGUGGCGAAGGCGACUCUCUGGUCUGUAACUGACGCUGAGGAGCGAAAGCGUGGGGAGCGAACAGGAUUAGAUACCAUGGGGUAGUCCACUGCUGCCUCCC
rnacentral:rRNA from 1 species